UACGGAGGGUGCUAGCGUUGUUCGGAAUCACUGGGCGUAAAGGGCGCGUAGGCGGCGUCGCAAGUCGGCUGUGAAAGCCCGGGGCUCAACCCCGGAGGUGCAGCCGAGACUGCGGUGCUCGAGGUCGGAAGAGGAGGGUGGAAUUCCCAGUGUAGAGGUGAAAUGCGUAGAUAUUGGGUGGAACACCGGUGGCGAAAGCGGCUCUCUGGGCCGAAUCUGACGCUGGGGCGCGAAAGCGUGGGGAGCAAACAGG
rnacentral:rRNA from 1 species